UACGGGGGGAGCAAGCGUUUGUUCGGAUUUACUGGGCGUAAAGGGCGCGUAGGCGGCUUUGCAAGUGACGGGUGAAAUCCCUCGGCUUAACCGAGGAACUGCCUGUCAAACUGCAUGGCUUAGACCGGGAGAGGUGAGUGGAAUUCCCAGUGUAGCGGUGAAAUGCGUAGAUAUUGGGAGGAACACCAGUGGCGAAGGCGGCUCACUGGACCGGUACUGACGC
rnacentral:rRNA from 1 species